AGGUGGCUGCAGAUUGCAACAAACUUAACCAUAACCGCGCUAAACGACUCUGAAGAAGCAGGAAGAAACUGUCAUGGUGGCCUCCUGAACACAUCGAGGAAUGUUUGCCCUUUCUUUUGGUCGCCUGUUAUUACAGGCUCUUCCCAAACAACCGGUCACACCUAGGGCUACAGCACAAUGCAUCAGAAGUCUGACAACAUGUCAGCAAGAACCUCUUAAGAAAGGUGAUAUGCCUAUCAAAAUGGAAAACCCAUACAAGAG